GCAGUCGAGGGGCAUCGGGAGGGAAGCUUGCUUUCCUUGCCGGCGACCGGCGCACGGGUGAGUAACACGUAUGCAACCUGCCCUCUUCAGGGGGACAACCUUCCGAAAGGGAGGCUAAUCCCGCGUAUAUCGGUUUCGGGCAUCCGAGAUCGAGGAAAGAUUCAUCGGAAGAGGAUGGGCAUGCGGCGCAUUAGCUAGACGGCGGGGUAACGGCCCACCGUGGCGACGAUGCGUAGGGGUUCUGAGAGGAAGGUCCCCCACACUGGUACUGAGACACGGACCAGACUCAUACGGGAGGCAGCAGUGAGGAAUAUUGGUCAAUGGGAGAGAUCCUGAACCAGCCAAGCCGCGUGAGGGAAGACGGCCCUAUGGGUUGUAAACCUCUUUUGUCGGAGAACAAAACCCGGGACGAGUCCCGGACUGCGUGUAUCCGAAGAAAAAGCAUCGGCUAACUCCGUGCCAGCAGCCGCGGUAAUACGGAGGAUGCGAGCGUUAUCCGGAUUUAUUGGGUUUAAAGGGUGCGUAGGCGGUCCGUUAAGUCAGCGGUAAAAUUGCGGGGCUCAACCCCGUCGAGCCGUUGAAACUGGCAGACUUGAGUUGGCGAGAAGUACGCGGAAUGCGCGGUGUAGCGGUGAAAUGCAUAGAUAUCGCGCAGAACUCCGAUUGCGAAGGCAGCGUACCGGCGCCAGACUGACGCUGAGGCACGAAAGCGUGGGGAUCGAACAGGAUUAGAUACCCUGGUAGUCCACGCAGUAAACGAUGAAUGCUGGUUGUCCGGGUCGAAUGAGACCUGNGCGGCGAAGCGAAAGCGAUAAGCAUUCCACCUGGGGAGNACGCCGGCAACGGUGAAACUCAAAGGAAUUGACGGGGGCCCGCACAAGCGGAG
rnacentral:rRNA from 1 species